AUUGAACGCUGGCGGCAUGCCUUACACAUGCAAGUCGAACGGCAGCGGACCUUCGGGUGCCGGCGAGUGGCGAACGGGUGAGUAAUAUAUCGGAACGUACCUUUCAGUGGGGGAUAACGUAGCGAAAGUUACGCUAAUACCGCAUAUUCUGUGAGCAGGAAAGCAGGGGAUCGCAAGACCUUGCGCUGAUUGAGCGGCCGAUAUCAGAUUAGCUAGUUGGUGAGGUAAAGGCUCACCAAGGCGACGAUCUGUAGCGGGUCUGAGAGGAUGAUCCGCCACACUGGAACUGAGGCACGGUCCAGACUCCUACGGGAGGCAGCAGUGGGGAAUUUUGGACAAUGGGCGCAGGCCUGAUCCAGCCAUGCCGCGUGAGUGAAGAAGGCCUGGUUGUAAAGCUCUUUCGGCCGGGAAGGAAAUCGCACAGGUUAAUACCCUGUGUGGAUGACGGUACCGGAAUAAGAAGCACCGGCUAACUACGUGCCAGCAG
rnacentral:rRNA from 1 species